UACGUAGGUGACCAGCGUUGUCCGGAUUUACUGGGCGUAAAGAGCGCGCAGGCGGUCGUUCAAGUCGAGUGUGAAAGCCCCCCGGCUCAACUGGGGAGGGUCAUUCGAUACUGAUCGACUCGAAGGCAGGAGAGGGAAGCGGAAUUCCCGGUGUAGUGGUGAAAUGCGCAGAUAUCAGGAGGAACACCGAUGGCGAAGGCAGGUCUCUGGGCAGUAACUGACGCUGAGGAGCGAAAGCGUGGGGAGCGAACAGG
rnacentral:rRNA from 1 species